AUUGAACGCUGGCGGCAUGCUUUACACAUGCAAGUCGAACGGUAACAGGCCGCAAGGUGCUGACGAGUGGCGAACGGGUGAGUAAUGCAUCGGAACGUGCCCAGUCGUGGGGGAUAACGCAGCGAAAGCUGCGCUAAUACCGCAUACGAUCUAUGGAUGAAAGCGGGGGACCGUAAGGCCUCGCGCGAUUGGAGCGGCCGAUGUCAGAUUAGGUAGUUGGUGGGGUAAAGGCUCACCAAGCCAACGAUCUGUAGCUGGUCUGAGAGGACGACCAGCCACACUGGGACGGAGACACGGCCCAGACUCCUACGGGAGGCGGCAGUGGGGAAUUUUGGACAAUGGGCGCAAGCCUGAUCCAGCAAUGCCGCGUGCAGGAAGAAGGCCUUCGGGUUGUAAACUGCUUUUGUACGGAACGAAACGGUCCUGGUUAAUACCCGGGGCUAAUGACGGUACCGUAAGAAUAAGCACCGGCUAACUACGUGCCAGCAGCCGCGGUAAGAC
rnacentral:rRNA from 1 species